UGGUGCGGUGCCUACGGCGCCCGAGCGGUUCUGGGAUAGCGAUGGGGACGCCCGGGGCCUCAGCGGGAUCUCUGUUUGUGCCCUCCGCGUCCGCGCCCCCGAGGAAGCGCGCGGCCGGGGAGACCGGGGUUGCGAGAAGCAAGCAGCGGGUUCUGGAUGAAGAAGAGUACAUCGAGGGACUCCAGUCAUCCAGAGAGAUUUCUUCCCCGAUGUGGAGAAACUACAGGCACAGAAGGAAUACCUGGAGGCUGAGGAAAAUGGAGAUUUGGAGCGCAUGCGCCAGAUUGCCAUCAAGUUUGGCUCUGCCCUGGGCAAGAUAUCUCGGGAACCUCCACCACCCUAUGUUAUUCCAGCCACCUUUGAAACUCCUGAGGUUUAUCCAGGCUCUGGUGUGGUGGGCAGCAAGCCCCGGCCCCAGGGUCGGGACCUAGAGGAUGGAGAGGCUGGAGAUGAGGAGGAGAAGGAGCCGCUGCCCAGCCUGGAUGUCUUCUUGAGCCGCUAUACAAGUGAGGACAAUGCCUCCUUCCAGGAGAUCAUGGAGGUGGCCAAGGAAAAAAGCCACGCCCGCCAUGCGUGGCUCUACCAAGCUGAGGAGGAAUUUGAGAAGCGACAGAAAGAUAAUCUUGAACUCCCGUCGGCAGAGCACCAAGCCAUUGAGAGUGGCCAGGCUGGAGUGGAGACCUGGAAGUAUAAGGCGAAGAAUUCGCUCAUGUACUAUCCUGAGGGUGUCCCUGAUGAAGAACAGUUAUUUAAGAAACCACGGCAGGUAGUACACAAGAACACACGUUUCCUCCGGGACCCCUUCAGUCAGGCCCUGAGCAGGUCCCAGCUUCAGCAGGCAGCUGCCCUGAAUGCCCAGCACAAGCAGGGCAAGGUCGGCCCUGACGGCAAGGAGCUUAUUCCGCAGGAGUCCCCCCGAGUGGGCGGCUUCGGGUUUGUUGCCACUCCUUCUCCUGCUCCUGUGAGCUGCCAAGAUGUGACCCAAGGAUGCUGUGUUCAGAGGGAAAGCAAGAAGGCCUCUUUCUAGUGGAGGAGGCAGGACAGAAGGCUUCCAAGGGGAAGUGACAUAACCCAGGCAAAAUUCACAGAGGCGGGGGCUACAGAGCGUUGCUUGGUCCCAGGAGGCUUUGAAGAAGACUGAGUCCCUAGGCUGAGCCCAGGGACAUUGGCAUAGUCUUCAGAGGUGAAUUGGCAAGUAUGCUUUUGGCACAUAUGUUGGGGUACAGGGAUGAGGGGGUGUGGAUGGGCAGAUCAGAAGCUAGCAUGGAAAUCCUUUCUGAGGGUGGUAGGAGGUAACCUAGGUGUAGCUGUGAACACUGGGAGAUGACAGGUGGAACAGCAGACAGGGAGAUCACGGUAGGCUGGAUGUGUUGGGGGAAGCAGGAAGAACAGGAACUCACUCCAGGGUAAAUUGGCAUUAGUGUCUUCCCAAGGUAGAGACACAGGUGAGGGCAGGGUUGAGAUGAGUCUAAAUGUCCUUAUUUUUAUGUAUUAAAAACCCUUAGACCUCCCUGAGGUUGCCCAGAGUGAGGUGAAGAGAAAGGAGCCACAACCGCAAGACUCAGGCUUCAAGCCAUGAGCUCUGCCUCAUUCCCUGCUGGCCCCUGGGCUGCAAGAGGCUCACUAGGCAGCGCUUGGAGAAGCUGAAGUCAGACAGUUUGAUGUUGAAGUCCUUGUCAAGCAGAAGGUUCUCGCACUUGAGGUCUCGGUGGACAACAUCCAGAU